rnacentral:rRNA from 1 species
CAGUCGCCGCGGUAAUACGUAGGUGGCAAGCGUUGUCCGGAAUUAUUGGGCGUAAAGCGCGCGCAGGCGGUUUCUUAAGUCUGAUGUGAAAGCCCCCGGCUCAACCGGGGAGGGUCAUUGGAAACUGGGAAACUUGAGUGCAGAAGAGGAGAGUGGAAUUCCACGUGUAGCGGUGAAAUGCGUAGAGAUGUGGAGGAACACCAGUGGCGAAGGCGACUCUCUGGUCUGUAACUGACGCUGAGGAGCGAAAGCGUGGGGAGCGAACAGGAUUAGAUACCCGAGUAGUCCCUGUCUCUUAUAC